rnacentral:rRNA from 1 species
UGACACAACCCCGAGAAAUCGGGGCUAAUAUCAGAUGAUGCAGCGGCUCGACAUCGAGACAGUUGUUAAACCUUCGGGGCCUAAAGAUGAGCCUGCGUCUGAUUAGCUGGUUGGCGGGGUAACGGCCCACCAAGGCAACGAUCAGUAGCUGGUCUGAGAGGAUGAUCAGCCACACUGGAACUGAGACACGGUCCAGACUCCUACGGGAGGCAGCAGUAAGGAAUAUUGCUCAAUGGCCGAAAGGCUGAAGCAGCAACGCCGCGUGGAGGAUGAAAUACUUUUGUAUGUAAACUCCUGUGAGAAGGGAAAAAUAUGCAGAUUUUCUGCGUUGAUUGUACCUUCAGAGGAAGCCCCGGCUAACUACGUGCCAGCAGCCGCGGUAAUACGUAGGGGGCGAGAGUUGUCCGGAUUUACUGGGUGUAAAGGGUGCUCAGGUGGAUUUGUAAGUCAGAGGUGAAAUCCCAAAGCUUAACUUUGGAGCUGCCUUUGAUACUGCAAGUGCUUGAGUUUGGAAGAGGGUAAUGGAAUAUCUGGUGUAGCAGUGAAAUGCGUAGAUAUCAGAUAGAACACCAAUGGCGAAGGCAGUUGCCUGGUUCCAAAACUGACACUAAAGCACGAAAGUGUGGGGAGCAAACAGGAUUAGAUAGCCCUGGUAGUCCACACCCUAAACGAUGAAUACUAGAUGUUGGUCCUUUUAAGGAUCAGUAUCCAAGCUAACGCAUUAAGUAUUCCACCUGGGAAGUACAAUCGCAAGGUUGAAACUCAAAGGAAUUGACGGGGGCCCGCACAAGCAGUGGAGCAUGUGGUUUAAUUCGACGCAACGCGAAGAACCUUACCUAGGCUU